rnacentral:rRNA from 1 species
AUGAACGCUGGCGGCGUGCCUCAUACCUGCCAGUCGAGCGCACAGACGAGGAGCUUGCUCCUUUGACGUUAGCGGCGGACGGGUGAGUAACACGUGGAUAACCUACCUAUAAGACUGGGAUAACUUCGGGAAACCGGAGCUAAUACCGGAUAACAUGUUGAACCGCAUGGUUCAACAGUGAAAGACGGUCUUGCUGUCACUUAUAGAUGGAUCCGCGCCGCAUUAGCUAGUUGGUAAGGUAACGGCUUACCAAGGCAACGAUGCGUAGCCGACCUGAGAGGGUGAUCGGCCACACUGGAACUGAGACACGGUCCAGACUCCUACGGGAGGCAGCAGUAGGGAAUCUUCCGCAAUGGGCGAAAGCCUGACGGAGCAACGCCGCGUGAGUGAAGAAGGUCUUCGGAUCGUAAAACUCUGUUAUUAGGGAAGAACAAAUGUGUAAGUAACUAUGCACGUCUUGACGGUACCUAAUCAGAAAGCCACGGCUAACUACGUG